GGAGAGGUACCGAAGCGGUCAUAACGGCGCCGACUCGAAAUCGGAUGGUUCCCGAAAGGGGGCACCAGGGUUCGAAUCCCUGCCUCUCCGCCA
rnacentral:tRNA from 1 species